CCAAUGUUCUAAGAGCCUUCUCCAAUUCUGAUGUUGAGUUCAUCAUUGGACUUCCUAAUGACAACCUUGCAGCCAUGACUGAUCCCACCAAAGCCCAAGCUUGGAUUCAGCAGAAUGUUCAACCCUUUCUUCCCCAGACCAAGAUCACCUGCAUUACAGUUGGGAAUGAGAUCUUAUCCGGCACCGAUAAGCAGUUAAUGUCGAAUCUCCUACCUGCAAUGCAGUCAGUACAUAGUGCUCUUGUAAGCCUGGAACUAGAUGACCAAGUGGGUGUCGUAACUGCCCAUUCACUGGCCAUCUUGGCUGAAUCCUUCCCUCCUUCAUCAGGUUCUUUUAGGCAGGAUCUUGGAGGAUAUCUCCAA
rnacentral:lncRNA from 1 species